AACGGUGAAGCCCAGCUUGCUGGGUGGAUCAGUGGCGAACGGGUGAGUAACACGUGAGCAACCUGCCCCUGACUCUGGGAUAAGCGCUGGAAACGGCGUCUAAUACUGGAUAUGUGACGUGACCGCAUGGUCUGCGUCUGGAAAGAAUUUCGGUUGGGGAUGGGCUCGCGGCCUAUCAGCUUGUUGGUGAGGUAAUGGCUCACCAAGGCGUCGACGGGUAGCCGGCCUGAGAGGGUGACCGGCCACACUGGGACUGAGACACGGCCCAGACUCCUACGGGAGGCAGCAGUGGGGAAUAUUGCACAAUGGGCGCAAGCCUGAUGCAGCAACGCCGCGUGAGGGAUGACGGCCUUCGGGUUGUAAACCUCUUUUAGCAGGGAAGAAGCGAAAGUGACGGUACCUGCAGAAAAAGCGCCGGCUAACUACGUGCCAGCAGCCGCGGUAAUACGUAGGGCGCAAGCGUUAUCCGGAAUUAUUGGGCGUAAAGAGCUCGUAGGCGGUUUGUCGCGUCUGCUGUGAAAUCCGGAGGCUCAACCUCCGGCCUGCAGUGGGUACGGGCAGACUAGAGUGCGGUAGGGGAGAUUGGAAUUCCUGGUGUAGCGGUGGAAUGCGCAGAUAUCAGGAGGAACACCGAUGGCGAAGGCAGAUCUCUGGGCCGUAACUGACGCUGAGGAGCGAAAGGGUGGGGAGCAAACAGGCUUAGAUACCCUGGUAGUCCACCCCGUAAACGUUGGGAACUAGUUGUGGGG
rnacentral:rRNA from 1 species